GUUUGAGUGUGCAUGCCGAGGGAAGCUGAGAAAUGAAGCUUAGCUCCUGGGUCUGUGGACUGAAGGGGGAAGAGGAUAGGGUGACAAGAAUUGGGUUUCUUAGCAAAAACCUGGCGUUCUGUUUUGGACACCAAGUUUGAGGUGAGUAUUAGAUAUUUCAAGGAAGAUUCUAAGUAGACAGCUGCAUAUGGCUGGUCUCCCUGGAACAAGAGGAGCUUCUAGAGGCUGUGGGGGUGGGAGUGGGAGUGCUGAAUCCCUCCUCUCCCUGGACAGAAGCCUUCCAGCUGUCAAGUGGUAGAAGCGGAGCAAUUUCCCCCCUAGAGCCUUGGCCUCUCUGGGCUGCAGCCUGGCAGCUUCUGAGCAGGACUCCCAGGAGUCACGGUUUCCCACUGCUCAGGGAGAGUACUCACAAGGUCAUUAUGGGGCAACAAUGGGCACUUAGAACACUCCUCUGGGGACCCGCAGAACAAGAGAAGGAGGGCAGUCAGAACCCCUGCUCCGAGUAGCCGGCUCUGCUUGAGACAGAGAAGAACUCCUAUUAUACUACCUACGAAACUAGAGCGCCAGGCGGUUGUCAUGCGUGCUUUCUGUCCUGUUUUCCAAGUUAGAAAGUUCAGUAGCUGAUUAAAGGAGAUGGUAAUUAUUGAGAAGAAAAUUAGCAGCUUACGAGAUUCAGUGGAAGAAGUAUCUCAAACAGGGAGCAAAAAAAAUAAAGAGCUGGAAAUUGAGGAGAAAUGAGCCAUUUGGAGAACAGAACAAAUGUAUGGGGGCCACAACAACUCAUCAAAUAGCACAUGCCUUUCCCAUAAGCGCUGGUGCUUUGUAUGUCCUGAGGAUGAUACGACUGCUGGCCGGGCAGAACCGACGCACUCCGCAGCCCCAGAGUCACAGAGUUCAUCUGCAACCUCUGAUUCUAUUCUCCUGGAAAAUAACGCUGCAGUGAAAGAAAACCACCCUACAAGAGCCCCUGCUUUGGCCCGGAGGCAGCUGCCCAGCUGUGCACAGCAAAGCCGAGCCAGGAAAUCGCUCGUCUUCUGGCUGCUCAGUGAUGGAGAACGCGCUGGGGGAAGGUUAGCCCAGGAACAUCAUCAUUUGCAUCAGCAGACAGCAGGCUGUCCUGCAGCUGUGUCAGAGAGCCCUCGAAGCCAGCCUGGGAUGGCUCUGCCACGUGCUCCCCCCUACAAAGCACAGCACACACAGGGAGAACCUCAGGACAGCGACAGGACAGCGAGAGAACUGGGGAUCCUGAAGAUGGCAGCUCCCCGCACAGAAGAGACUGGACAGACAUUCCCAAGUGUAUCUGAACAGGGGUCCACACUCUGGCCUAGGAUCAGCCCGGUGGUUCAUCCGGACACCGUCUUCCGCAGGAAGCCUGCAGCUCCUCCCUCCCUUCCCCUGUGGAGAGGAACUCUCUGUGCUCCGUGGUGGUCCCAGUAA
rnacentral:lncRNA from 1 species